CGGAGGCGGGGGGCGGUGCGGGCUGCGGGGCUCCCUUCGCCGCCGCCGCCGCCGGCCCUGCGCCCUCCUUCCGCCCGCAGCGAGCAGGGAGCACCGCCGGCGAAGCCCUCCCGCCGCCCCCGGCCGCGGCGGUGCCAGGUGGAGGGGUGUGGCUGCCGGCGCCAGGCGGGGCUGUGUUGCCAGAGGAGCUGGUAUAGAAGGCUGGUGCGUGUUACUGGCUGGCUCCCGUGUUUGACAGCAGAAGUGGCUGCCUUUCUGUGGUUAGAAAUGAAGCUGUGAGCGUGGCCCAGAGUCAUCCAAAGCUUUCUCCGUCUUUCAGACGGACCCCAUGGGCGACUGGGACGGGAGCGUGGGAUGAACCUGAUGAGCCGGCAUGCCAGAGGAAAACUGAAGCGGGCCAAGAGCAGACAGAAAUCAACAGAAACCACGUGGAGAAAGCUUUGGGUGGAAGCUGGGCUGUAAAGGAACUUUCCGUGUCAUAGCUGCACACACGCCUGCGCGCUUCGCUCACGAGAGCAUCGAUUGCUUCCCUGUCCGCUGGCACGCUGGGCCGACAUCUGUCAUUGCACGCUACGAACCUCGGCUGGACACGGCAGGGGAGAUGGUGGUGGGAUACCAUUGUCCGGGUCGGUUGGUGGGAGGAAAUGAUGAAUUGUUAGCACUGCGAUCUGCUCUUCAAACCUCUCUGGAGACGGCAGUGCUGCAGAAGUGAGGAUUGCCACUCCCUCAGCAGCUCCCCGGCUGCUGCCGGGAACUGUUACCCUCCAGGAAAGGUCGUUCCAGCGGGUCUUGCCUGAGGCUCCAGCUCCACCCAGGCAAUCCUGUAUGCUUUUGCUGUUGUUCUGCACCGCAUCUUGUGCAAUUAUUCCUGCUCGGACAGCGGUGCGCUGCAAACUUUAGGAAGUUCCAAAGCUACUGACUAAUGCUGCUGUGAGUCACCUUCCCGCCAGCCCGGUUUCUAAGCUGAGCACCCAUAGUUGAAGGCAGACCUGUGAGAGAAGCCAGCCCUCACAAGCUCCCAUCGGGACUCAAUGGUCAGACCUACGGAAGAAAAUUGGAAAUUCAAGCCAUUUAUUUUGGCCUGUAAAUGCGAUGUAAGGCAGCGCUGACCCUGUCCAAUGAGGCUGCCGUAGUCCCACCCUACCUGACAGCCCCGAAAUACGGGAGUCGAGAGACAGACAAGUCCCCAGGCUGCCUGAAGCACCAGGGGCAGGCAGCGACCCGGCCGGCGGGCAGUGGAGUUCUGCCGACAGGGAAAUGAAAGAACACGCUGAACGCGGGCUUUGUUCCACUCAGCCUAGAGUUCAAGCGCCGAAGACCUCACUUUCCUGAUGGUGGCAGCGUGAUCAGAUCUUCGUAUGCUGAAAACACAGCUGUAGCCGUGAGGGCCGGCCUCCUCCAGAAGCUGGCACACAGGGAACAUCACCAGCUACCUGUCAAAAAUCUGACUGGAACGAGAUGACCGCGGAGGUGCGUUAGGACUGCUGUUUCCUGACGGCAGCCAGAAUAAUUCUCCCGUUUGCCGGAGUUCAGCCAAACAGAGCCGCGGGCCAGGCAGUCACCGCACACAGAAAAAAGGCACUAUUCAGUGAGGCGCCGCUGAAACGACUGCUUGAUGGCCAAGGUACUCCUUCUCAUGAAUAAGGGGACAAAAGUUUGGGGCUAAUAAGAAGCACAGCAUUUGAGUGUUUGUUUUAAAGACAGUGGCUCAUUCUGCAGGCCGCGGUACGGAGGCGAGGGAAAGUCUGUCUGGGGUCAGCAGUCUCCCAAAGGAAUCGGCUUCUGUCUGCGCUGAAUACGUAACUGCUCUUAACAGAGGUACGCAAGCCUGCUCCGAAGUCCACUGAAUGCGGGGAGAGCCCGUCUGCGUACGUGGAAUAUGCCUUAAUGGGACAAGCACAACACUUGGCUGAAGUACACAGAAGGACCUACUCGGAGACAUUUACAGGGGAGAAAAAGGAUGCAGAACUUGUCCUAAGGCUCUGCUGGAAAGCAUUGCCCAGCUCUGACCCGCUGAUUGAGCGGAGGGAUGAUUUGCACGGUGCUCUGUAGGAAACGUGCUUCCUGGGGAUCAGAUAAGAAGCAGUCGUAUACAGCUACGAGGGUUCGAACCUCUGUGAACAAGUAAUCGGGGAAAUAUCUGGGAUGACUUGGAAAUGCAAAGGAUUGGUUUUGGGUUCUGGGUUUUGGGUUUCAUUCCUAUGGGAAAAUAUCCAGUGAAAGGCUUGUUUUUUCCCUUGACGCUUCAUCCGACUUUUAGUUCAUGUUUAGGUUCAAUGGGAAAUAGCAUAGGCCGUUCAUCUGUGAAAAAGGGUGCGUUUCCUAUGGGAAGUUUAACGAGAAAUAAAACAGCUUUUCAAAAAUGUGACGCCCUAAAUCUUUGCUAGCCUUUGAAGCUUUUCUCUGGGUGACGACGGUGGUCUUUUUACUCCAGAGCAAGGGUGGUAUUUCUUUUAAGCCAAAGAUGGAGUUUGAUUGAAAACUGAAAUCCAGUGUGCCUCAACUUUUGGAUCCGUUGAAAUCUAACCCUAGAAAGCUGUGAAGAGCUAGGAGCAAACCCGGGCUGCAUCUCAGGAGCACAAAGCUCAAUUCUCGUCUAGUCUCGCAUACCUCUGUUGAUAACAUCUUUUCCGUGUAAUGACUUUACAUGUGUGUUGGGUUUGCGUGGCAAGGUUUUGGUAGCGGGGGGGCUACAGGGGUCGCUUCUGUGAGAAGCUGCUAGAAGCUCCCCCUGUGUCUGACAGAGCCAAUGCCAGCCGGCUCUAAGACGGGCCCGCCGCUGGCCAAGGCCAAGCCAAUCAGCGCCUCUGUGAUAACAUAUUUAAGAAGAAGAAAAACACUUAGAGAGAGAGAGCUUUUGCAGCCGGAGAGAGGAGUGAGAAGAUGUAAGAAACUCUGCAGACACCAAGGUCAGUGCAGAAGGAGGGGCAGGAGGUGCUCCAGGCGCCGGAGCAGAGAUCCCCCUGCAGCCCCUGGUGAAGGCCAUGGUGAAGCAGGCUGUCCCCCUGCAGCCCAUGGAGGAAGGAUGAGGGGGUGUAGCGAUUCCACCUGCAGCCCGUGGAGGACCCCACGCCGGAGCAGGUGGAGGCACCUGAAGGAGGCUGCGGCCCGUGGGAAGCCCACGCUGGAGCAAGUUCCUGGCCGGACCGGUGGACCCGUGAAGAGGGGAGCCCACGCCGGAGCAGGUUUGCUGGCAGGACUUGUGACCCCGUGGGGGACCCCACGCUGGAGCAGUUUGCUCCUGAAGGUCUGCACCCCGUGAGAGGGACUCCAUGCUGGAGCAGGGGAACGAUGAGAGGAGUCCUCCCCCUGAGGAGGAAGAAGCAGCAGAAACAACGUGUGAUGAACUGACCGCAACCCCCAUUCCCCGUCCCCCUGUGCCGCUGAGGGGGGGGAAGGUUGAAGCCGGGAGUGAAGUUGAGCCCGGGAAGAUGGGA